rnacentral:rRNA from 1 species
UCAACGGAUCUCUUGGCUCUCGCAUCGAUGAAGAACGCAGCGAAAUGCGAUACGUAAUGUGAAUUGCAGAAUUCAGUGAAUCAUCGAAUCUUUGAACGCACCUUGCGCCCUUUGGCAUUCCGAAGGGCACACCCGUUUGAGUGUCGUGACAUCCUCAAACCUUCUUAGUUUCUUGACUGAGAAGGCUUUGGACUUUGGAGGCUUUUGCUGAACCUUCCCUUUGUUGAAGCCAGCUCCUCUUAAAUGAAUUAGUGGGGUCUGCUUUGCCUAUCCUUGACGUGAUAAGAUGCUUCUACGUCUUGGGUUUUGCACUGUUUGCUCUAGAUCCUGCUUCUAACCGUCUUAUAGAAGACAAAUGGUCGACUUGACCCACAAACCUUGACCUCA